ACCUGAGAUAAUGACAGUUGAAGUUAGACCUAUAAUCAAAUUGAGGUCAUUUCUGGCAUGAUUUUAAAGUUGAAAGUCUUUAACAAAACCCUAAUAUCUCCUGAACUAUAAGGUUGUGAACACUGCCAGUUAUAGGUGUUGUGGGUGAGUGUUAGGAGCAUCUUGUGUUAGAAUCUCGUGUUCCUAACUCAUGUGGAUUCUGAGAUAUUGGCAGUUGAAGUUAGAGCUAUAGUCAAAUUUGGCUUGAUUUUAAAGUUGAAAGUCUUUAACAAAAUCCAAAUAUCUCCUGAACUAUAAGGUUGUGAGCACUGCCAGUUAUAGGUGUUGUAGGUGAGUGUUAGGAGCAUCUUGUGUUAGAAUCUCGCGUUCCUAACUCAUGUGGAUUCUGAGAUAUUGGCAGUUGAAGUUAGAGCUAUAGUCAAAUUUGGCUUGAUUUUAAAGUUGAAAGUCUUUAACAAAAUCCAAAUAUCUCCUGAACUAUAAGGUUGUGAGCACUGCCCCUUAUAGGUGUUGUAGGGGAGUGUUAGGAGCAUCUUGUGUUAGAAUCUUGUGUUCCUAACUCAUGUGGAUUCUGAGAUAUUGGCAGUUGAAGUUAGAAUCGAGAUCAAAUUUGGCACUAAAAAAAUGGUCAAAGUUUACAUUAAAGUGUAGAUAUCUCCUGAACUAUAAGGUUAUGAGCAAUGGCAGUUAUAGGAGUUAUAGGUGAGUGUUAGGAGCAUCUUGUGUUAAAAUCUUGUGUUCCUAACUCUCGUGGAUUCUGAGAUAUUGGCAGUUGAAGUUAGAAUCGACAUCAAAUUUGGCACUAAAAAAAUGGUCAAAGUUUUCAUUAAAGUGUAGAUAUCUCCUGAACUAUAAGGUUAUGAGCAAUGGCAGUUAUAGGAGUUGUAGGUGAAUGUUAGGAGCAUCUUGUGUUAGAAUCUCGUGUUCCUAACUCUCGUGGAUUCUGAGAUAUUGGCAGUUGAAGUUAGAAUCGACAUCAAAUUUGGCACUAAAAAAAUGGUCAAAGUUUUCAUUAAAGUGUAGAUAUCUCAGGAACUAUAAGGUUAUGAGCAAUGGCAGUUAUAGCAGUUAUAGGUGAAUGUUAGGAGCAUCUUGUGUUAAAAUCUUGUGUUCCUAACUCUCGUGGAUUCUGAGAUAUUGGCAGUUGAAGUUAGAAUCGACAUCAAAUUUGGCACUAAAAAAAUGGUCAAAGUUUUCAUAAAAGUGUAGAUACCUCAGGAACUAUAAGGUUGUGAGCACUGCCAGUUAUAGGUGUUAUAGGUGAAUGUUAGGAGCAUCUUGUGUUAAAAUCUCGUGUUCCUAACUCUCGUGGAUUCUGAGAUAUUGGCAGUUGAAGUUAGAAUCGAGAUCAAAUUUGGCACUAAAAAAAUGGUCAAAGUUUUCAUUAAAGUGUAGAUAUCUCAGGAACUAUAAGGUUAUGAGCAAUGCCAGUUAUAGGAGUUGUAGGUGAGUGUUAGGAGCAUCUUGUGUUAGAAUCUCGUGUUCCUAACUCAUGUGGAUUCUGAGAUAUUGGCAGUUGAAGUUAGAAUCGAGAUCAAAUUUGGCACUAAAAAAAUGGUCAAAGUUUUCAUUAAAGUGUAGAUAUCUCAGGAACUAUAAGGUUAUGAGCAAUGGCAGUUAUAGGAGUUAUAGGUGAGUGUUAGGAGCACCUUCACCCACCAACCCCAUGCUCCUAACCCUCCUAACUUCCGAGAAAAUGUCCGCUGAAAUCACGAGCCACUCACCCGUCACUGCAAAUUG